rnacentral:rRNA from 1 species
UGUGUAGGCGGUUGCUUAAGUUUGGUGUGAAAUCUCCCGGCUCAACUGGGAGGGUGCGCCGAAUACUGAGUGACUCGAGUGCGGGAGAGGAAAGUGGAAUUCCUGGUGUAGCGGUGAAAUGCGUAGAUAUCAGGAGGAACACCGGUGGUGUAGACGGCUUUCUGGACCGUAACUGACGCUGAAACACGAAAGCGUGGGUAGCAAACAGGAUUAGAUACCCUGGUAGUCCACGCCCUAAACGAUGCACAUUUGGUGUGGGUCAUUCAGUUGAUCCGUGCUGGAGCUAACGCGUUAAAUGUGCCGCCUGGGGAGUACAGUCGCAAGGCUGAA